GACGAACGCUGGCGGCGUGCCUAAUACAUGCAAGUCGACCUUAGUGGCGAACGGGUGAGUAAAACGUGGGUAACCUGCCAAUCAGAAGGGGAUAACACUUGGAAAAAGGUGCUAAUACCGUAUACUGAAGGAUGGACACGGGGUGCAUUAGCGAGGUGGUGAGGUAACGGCUCACCAAUACCACGAUUCAUAGCCGGCCUGAGAGGGUGAUCGGCCACAUUGGUACUGAGACACGGCCCAAACUCCUACGGGAGGCAGCAGUAGGGAAUCUUCGGCAAUGGACGAAAGGCUGACCGAGCAACGCCGCGUGAGUGAAGAAGGUUUUCGGAUCGUAAAACUCUGUUGUUAGAGAAGCGGUAUCUAACCAGAAAGCCACGGCUAACUUCGUGCCAGCAGCCGCGGUAAUUC
rnacentral:rRNA from 1 species